rnacentral:rRNA from 1 species
UGCCAGCAGCCGCGGUAAUACGAAGGGUGCUAGCGUUGUUCGGAAUUACUGGGCGUAAAGAGCAUGUAGGCGGAUGAAUUAGUCAGAGGUGAAAGCCCCGAGCUCAACUUGGGAACUGCCUUUGAUACUGUUUAUCUAGAGUCCGAGAGAGGUUAGUGGAAUUCCCAGUGUAGAGGUGAAAUUCGUAGAUAUUGGGAAGAACACCAGUGGCGAAUGCGGCUCACUGGCGCGGUACUGACGCUGAGGUGCGACAGCCUGGUGAGCAAACGGGAGUAGAA